rnacentral:rRNA from 1 species
AUACGGAGGACGCGAGCGUUAUCCGGAUUCAUUGGGUUUAAAGGGUGCGCAGGCGGCCGUGCAAGUCAGCGGUGAAAGCCCGGGGCUCAACCCCGGAAGUGCCGUUGAUACUGCAUGGCUGGAAUGCGGUCGAGGCGGGCGGGAAGUGGGGUGUAGCGGUGGAAUGCGUAGAUAUGCCACAGAACGCCUAUAGCGGAGGCAGCUCGCCAGGCCUGCAUGGACGCUCGGGCACGAAAGCGUGGGGAUCGAACAGGAUAAGAUACCCUGUGAGUCCACGCCGUAAACGAUGGGCGCUCGUCGUCGGCGGCAGACAGUCGGCGGCCAAGCGAAAGCGAUAAGCGCCCCACCUGGGGAGUACGGUCGCAAGGCUGAAACUCAAAUGAAUUGACGGGG